rnacentral:sRNA from 1 species
AAUCAAAGGAGAAGAAAGAAGACG